CUCCAUCUUCUUGGGUGACCUGGGGCCUGGAGGACACAUGCGAAAGAAUUUUGACAACUGUCCGGUGCUGUCCAAGUUGGAUGACAGAGGGGGCUCAUUCAGAAUCUAGCAAGCACGGUGCUGUUGCCUUCACGUACCCGGUGUCCUUCAAUCCUUCCAAUAACCCUAUGGGUCAUUUCUUGAGUGGACAUUGGCGGUGACAGUCAAGGACAGUCGCAAUGGGGAGCAUCCUCGUGCCUGAUGAAACGGAAGGAGGACCAGUGAGGUCACUGCAAGCUGCCGGCCACCCCCGAGUCAUUCUUGUUAAGCUCUGCAGUGCGUCGCCCCCAUCCCAGCAGAGCUGCUCCCUCGCUUACAUUCUGCGCAGGCUCUCACCGGAUGGACG
rnacentral:lncRNA from 1 species